GCCUUCGUGGUGUAGUGGCCAGCACGCUGGGCGCGUAUUCCAGAGGUCCGUGGUUCGAGUCCUGGCAAAGGCC
rnacentral:tRNA from 1 species